rnacentral:rRNA from 1 species
CCUACGGGAGGCUGCAGUGAGGAAUAUUGGUCAAUGGCCGGAAGGCUGAACCAGCCAUGCCGCGUGAAGGUCAGUGCCCUAUGGGCGUUAAACUUCUUUUGUGCGGGAGCAAUAAUGGUCACGUGUGGCCAGACGAGAGUACCGUACGAAUAAGCAUCGGCUAACUCCGUGCCAGCAGCCGCGGUAAUACGGGGGAGGCAAGCGUUUUCCGGGUUUCUUGGGUUUAAAGGGUGCGUAGGCUGGGAGGUAAGUCAGCGGUGAAAUGCCCACGCUCAACGGGGGGAAGUGCCAUUGAUACUGCCUUGCUGGAAUGCGGAUGCCGUGGGAGGAAUGUGUGGUGUAGCGGUGGAAUGCAUAGAUAUCACACAGAACACCGAUUGCGAAGGCAUCUCACGAAUCCGCGAUUGACGCUGAUGCACGAAAGCGUGGGUAUCAAACAGGAUUAGAUACCCGGGUAGUC